rnacentral:rRNA from 1 species
GACGUAGGGCGCGAGCGUUGUCCGGAUUUAUUGGGCGUAAAGAGCUCGUAGGCGGUGUGUCGCGUCGGCCGUGAAAACCUGGGGCUCAACUCUGGGCGUGCGGUCGAUACGGGCAUCACUUGAGUUCGGCAGGGGAGACUGGAAUUCCUGGUGUAGCGGUGAAAUGCGCAGAUAUCAGGAGGAACACCGGUGGCGAAGGCAGAUCUCUGGGCCGUAACUGACGCUGAGGAGCGAAAGCAUGGGGAGCGAACAGG